rnacentral:lncRNA from 1 species
GGUGGCUAUGGAUGUGGAGAAGGGUGUGGUGUUGUCCUGCUGAAACCUCUAAGGAAGGUCAGUCAACUUAAAAAUCAGUCUGGAGUGGUUCUCUGAUCAGCUACAGGCAGCUUUCUGUACCCAUGGCUUCUUCAUCCAUGGAUUCAACUAACCUUAAUGGAAAAUAUUUUUUACACAAUACAACAGGCCAGGCAUGGUGCCUCAUGCCUGUAAUCCCAGCCCUUUGGGAGGUUGAGGCAGGUGGACCAUUUGAUGUUAGGAGUUUGAGACCAGCCUGGCCAAUAUGAUGAAACCUGUCUGUACUAAAAUACAAAAAUUAGCCAGUGUGGUGGUGCGCCUGUAAUCCCAGCUACACUUGGGAGGCUGAGGCAAGAGAAUCUCUUGAGCCUGCAAGACAGAGGUUGCAGUAAGCCGAGAACGCAUCACUGCACUCCAGCCUGGGUGUCUCAAAAAGAUCCUGUCUCAAAAAAAAAAAAAAAAAAAAAAAAAACCAACCAACCAUCCAAACAAACAAACAAAAACCAAUAAAAAUAACACAAACAAAACCAAUAGAGUUUAACAACUGUUAAACUACAAGGUAACUACAAUGUAAAUACAUUGUAUUAGGUAUUAUAAGUAAUAUAGAGAUGAUUGAAAGUAUUUGAAAGGGUGUGUGUAGGUUAUAUGCAAACACUAUGCCCUGUUAUAUUAGGGACUUGAACUGAGACCGCUAUACCCUGUUAUAUCAGGGACCGCGGAUUUUGGUAUCCUGGGAUUCCUGGAACCAAUCCCCUGUGGAUCCUGGGGAAUGAAUGGACUGGUUGCAGGGCAGUGCACUAACUUAAUCAAGAUCCUGUACUUACUCUGCACAGCCUUGCUAUUCAAUGUGCUAUCCAGGAAUGGGCAGCAUGGUAGCAUCAUCAGCUUCACUAGGUGUUCGUCAGAAUACAGAGUCUCAGGUGCUCCCCCAGACACUGCAUUUUACAAGACUGUGCCAGAGCAGAUUCACAUUUACAGUCUGGUAGGGGGAGCAUUCAAGGAAAUUUGUGGCUCUAGUACAGUGUGGCAAAUUCAAGGUUAGACCUGGAGUGUUGCCUAGGUCAGUUUGCAGGAAUUGAGUUUUUCAGGUUAAGUAAAAUUUGGAGAAGCAAUAGAUUGUGGGUGAUGUGAAAAGAAUAAAGGCUUAUUAGGAAAUGGAACAACAUGCACAAAGACAGGCAUCCUGAGACAGAAUGAGGCAAAGUGGGGAGGAGAGGUGGCCGUUGGAGUAAAGAACCAUCUGGAAAUGAGCUGAUUAUAAUCAUUAUUCUGAACUCUGUCACCUUUUUCCUUUGUGAUCUUGGACAAACAACUUAACCUUUCUAUGCCUCAGUUUUGUGCUCAGUAAAAUGGGGAUGACAAUAAUAGUGUAUACCGAGUAGGGUUGCAGCAAGAGUUAAAUAAGUUAAUACUGAAAGGUGCCUAGAAAAGUGCCCAGAAUGUAGUAAGCAUGAUAUAUGAGCUGUUGUUGCUGUUAUUAUUGCUAUUAAAGACCGAGUGCAUGGAACACAGAUGCAAACCUCCUCCCUAACUUCUCCCAUAUCUUCCUCAUGUAAACUGCUCCAGCCAAGCGAUUUAUCUGUUGUUGUUGUUCCAUACACAGCUUUUUUGUUUGUUUUGUUUUUUUAGAGACAGGAUUUUGCUCUGUCACUCAGGCUGGAGUGCAGUGGCAUGAUCACAGCUCACUGCAACCUUGAACUCCUGGCCUCAAGCAAUGCUCCUGCCUCAGCCUCCUAAGUACCUGGGACUAUGGUUGUGUGCCACCAUGCCUGGCUAAUAUUUAUUUAUUAAUUGAUUGAUUUAAGACAGUUUCACUCCUGUCGCCCAGGCUAGAGUGCAAUGGCGUGAUCUCGGCUCACUGCAACCUCUGCCUCCCGGGUUCAAGUGAUUCUCCUGCCUCAGCCUACCGAGUAGCUGGGAUUACAGGCACCCGCCACCACGCCUGGCUAAUUUUUGUAUUUUUAGUAGAGACAGGGUUUCACCAUGUUGGCCCCGCUGGUCUUGAACUCCUGACCUCAGGUGAUCUGCCCGCCUCAGCCUCCCAACGUGCUGGAAUUACAGGCGUGGGCUGUACCUGGCCGCGUGGCUAAUUAAAAAUUUUAUUUUUUGUAGAGAUGGGCAUCUCACUAUGUUGCCCAGACUGAUCUCAAGCUCCUGGGCUCAAGAGAUCCUCCCGUCUCAGCCUCCCAAAGAGCUGGGAUUACAGGCCUUCCAGUUCCAGAGACUGUGUGCUUAACUGCUGGGUCCUGCUGCACACCUAGAGAUAACAAUGGUUAUGGAGUUGUUUCCACCUACCAGGUGCUGCUUGAAGCAUUUUGCAUGGAGUAACUAAUUUAAUCCCUAGACCCUCUGAGAUAGGUAUGUUAAUAGUCCCCAUUUUAUUAUUAUUAUUAUUUUUAUUGUAGAGACAAGGUUUCACUAUAUUGCCCAGGCUGUUCUUGAACUCCUGGGCUCAAGCAAUCCUCCUGCUUUGGCAUCCCAAAGUUUUGGGAUUACAGCAUGUGCCGCCACACCUGGCCAAUACUCCCCAGUUUAUACACGAAGAAGGUAAAACACAGAGCAAUUAAGUAACUCACCCAGGAUGGUCCCAUUGAGCAAGUGGCUGAGCUGGGAUUCAAGCCCAGCGAGUCCUGUCACAUAGGAUCCCACGCUUAUAUCUCACUUUGCUCUAUGGAAGUCAUGCUUACUUUUGGGAAAAUUGCCUUUGAUUCAAAGUUGGGGACAGAAUUUUAUUUUAUUCUAUUUUAAGUUUUUAUUUUUAUGCAUAGAAUAGUUGGGACAAAUAAACCAAAUUUUAAGUAUUAUAUUUCUUUUUGAUUGAAGAUCUUGCAUGUUGAAAGUCUUCUUAGGAUUUUUUUUUUUUUUUUAGAUGGAUUCUCGCUUUGUUGCCAGGCUGGAGUGCAGUGGUAUGAUCUCGGCUCACUGCAACCUCCGCCUCCCAGGUUCAAGCGAUUCUCCUGCCUCAGCCUCCUGAGUAGCUGGGAUUACAGGCAUGCACCACCACACCUAGCUAAUUUUUGUAUUUUUUGUAGAGACAGGGUUUCACCAUGUUGGCCAGGAUGGUGUGGAUCUCCUGACCUUGUGAUCUGCCCGUCUCAGCCUCCCAAAGGGCUGGGAUUACAGGCAUGAGCCACUGUGCCCAGCCAGAAAUUUUAUACUUAAUUUAAAGCCCUAGCAAAGAGGAUGAAAGUCAUAGGAUUGAGGCUACCCCCCACUGUUGUUCCUGUCUGCAGGAAGGGUAACUUCAGAAUUCCUUUCCACAUGGAAUCAAUCCCACAAGCCUUGUAUUCACAGAAUCUGCCAAGUGUUACUCAAGUGAAUGUUAUCUCUACAUAUUUGAGAUUUCAAGUAAAUAUAGGAUAGUAUUUAUAAGAUGGAAAGAGAAAAAUAGAAAACAGUUCUCUCCUUUAAAAGAUUAUCAAAAGAGUAAUAAAUUAGCAUAUUUCAGUUACCAACAUGUUGUAAUGAACAGCCGCAAGUCUAGUAGUUUAAAACAAUGACUAUUUCAUCAUAUGUCAGGAUUUAGUGAGCCAGAAAUUUGGGCAGAGCCUGGCUGGGUGAGUCUUCUGUUCUGUGGUCAUAUGGACUGGGUGUCGGGUGGUGUUCAGCUGGCAGCUAGGCUGGUCUGGAGGAGCCAAGAUGCUUCUUAUGAGCCUGGUGCCUUCACAGAACACCUGGAAGGCUGCGCUCAGCUGGGGCCGUCUAUUUUUCAUGGAGUCUCAGAGCCUCUCCACGUGGCCCUUCGGCAGGGUAAGCUAAUGCUUCGCUCAGGGCCCCAAGAAGCCAAGGCAAAAGCUGCCGGUUCUCUUAAAAGCUAGGCUCCCAGAGCUGGCACAGGGUCAUUUCUGCCACCUUCUUUUGCUUCAGGCAAUCACGGGCUAGCCUAGAUUCAAUGGAAGGGAAAAUAGACACUACCCCCCCUUUUUUUUUUUGGAGACAAGGUCUUGCUCUGUCCCCCAGGCUAGAGUGCAAUGGUGCUGUCGCCUCCAACUCAUGGGCUCAAGUGAUUCUCGUGUCUCAGCUUCUUGAGUAGCUGAAACCACAGGCGUGUGCUUCCACUUCCAGCUAACUCUUUUUUUUCAUUUUGUAGAGACGAGGUCUCACUAUGCUGCAUAGGCUGACACCACCUCUUGAUGGGAGAGGUGUCAAAUAAUUUGUGGUCAUCUUUAAUCAGCCAUAAAACAUAUACGCAUCAAUUAAGUCUUUACUAAGUUAUAAGUUAACUAUUAAAUUGGAAGCAUAGGACUGCAGCUUCCUUUGUCCACAAACGUUUGUCAGGAGGAACCUCAACAGUGCAUUCAAAGUCAGGCCCAGUGGCUCAUGCCUGUAAUCCUAGCACUUUGGGAAGCUGAGGAGGACAGAUCUCUUGAGGUCAGGAGUUCGAGACUAGCCUGGCCAGCCUGGUGAAACCCCGUCUCUACUAAAAAAAAAAAAAAAAAGUGCAUUCGAAUUAUGUGGUUACUACUGUUCCAUAAAACGGAAGCUUUCCUAAACAAAUAAUUUAUAUUGCUUUCUCUCUUCAUAGUUAUAGCCCAAUUAGCUUACUUUCUCUACCAGCUGAUGUUCUACUUAUCUACUUAUGUAGAAAGUCAAAUCACAAAGUUUUCUCAUAAUCAAGGACUUCUGAUUCUGCCAUUUCCCCAUCCUAAGAUGAGCUCUCCUGAAUCUGGGUUCACAUGGCUUUUCUUGUACAAAUAAUUCCUUUUGAUAUUGUCAUUUUGUGAGUAUAUAACCUCCACUUUCACUACGUUCAUUUCGCCUCUCCAAGUAGUUUCUUUUUCUUUCUUUCUUUUUUUUUUUUUUUGAGACACAAUCUCACUCUGUCACCGAGGCUGGAGAGCAGUGGCGUGACCUCGGCUCACUGCAACCUCCGCCUCCAGGUUCAAGUGAUUCUCAUGCCUCAGCCUCCCAAGUAGCUGGGACUAUAGGUGCCUGCCACCACACCUGGCUAAUUUUUGUAUUUUUAGUAGUUUCAACACUCCUCAAAAGAAGACAUAUGCAGCCAACAAACAUGAAAAAGAGCUCAACAUCACUGAUCAUUAGAGAAAUGCAAAUCAAAACCACAAAGAGAUACCAUCUCAUGCCAAUCAGAAUGCCUAUUACUAAACACUCAAAAAACAACAGAUGCUGGAGAAAAAGGAACACUUUUACACUGCUGGUGAAAGUGUCAAUACUUCAACUAUUGUGGAAGGCAGUGUGGUGAUUCCUCAAAGAACCAGAGGUAGAAAUACCUUUUGAUCCAGCAAUCCCAUUACUGGGUAUAUACCCAGAAGGAUAUAAAUCAUUCUGUUGUAAAGAGACAUAGACGUGUAUGUUCAUUGCAGCACUGUUUACAAUAGAGAGUCAUGGAAUCAACUGAAAUACCCAUCAAUGAUAGACUGAAUAAAGAAAAUGUGGUAUACACACCAUGCAAUACUGUGCAGCCAUAAAAAGGAAUAAGAUCAUGUCCUUUGCAGGGACAUGGAUGGAGUUGGAAGCCAUUAUCUUCAGCAAACUAACACAGGAACAGAAAACCAAAGACCGCACCUUCUCAGUUAUAAGAUGGAGCUAGUCUGAGAACAUAUGGACAUGCCAGGGGGAACACAUGGGCACACUGGGGGGAACAACACACACUGGGCACCUGUAGGGGGUUAAGGGGAGGGAGAGCAUCAGCAAGAAUAGCUAAUGGAUGUUGGGCUUAAUAACUGGGUGAUCGGGGCUGAACACGGUGGCUCAUGCCUGUAACCCUAGCAGUUUGGGAGGCCAAGGCAGGCAGAUCACUUGAGGUCAGGAGUUCGAAACCAGGCUAGCCAACAUGGUGAAACCCAGUCUCUACUAAAAAUACAAAAAGAAUUAGCUGGGUAUGCUGGCACGCACCUAUAAUCCCACCUACUUGAGAGGCUGAGACAGGAGAAUCACUUGAACCCAGGAGGCAGAGUUUGCAGUGAGCUGAGAUGGUGCCACUGGACUCCAGCCUUGGCGACAGAGCAACACUCUGUCUCAAAAAUAAAUAUAUAUAUAUAUAUAUAAAACUGGGUGAUGGGAUGAUCUGUGCAGUAAACCACCAUGGCACACAUUUACCUAUGUAGCAAACCUACACAUCCUGCACCGGUACCCCUGAACUUAAAAGAUGAAAAGAAAAAGAAAUUGGUGUUCAAGUUUGUCACAGGUGACCCUUAAAAGUCCUCCUAAUGGCUUGUAUUACUUUGCCUCUUAGCCUACAGGACUUUGAAGAAGAAAGGAAAUAACUAACCCAGCAAACCAGAACCUGAUGUUACAAUAAUUGUAAUAGUUAACAUGUUAAGCACUUUUCAUAUAUUUCCUAAUCUAAUCCUACACCAACCCUAUGAUACUUUACUAUUUGUCUUAAAAAUUGUUCCUGAGCAAACCAGCCUCAACCAAAAAGCCCCCAAACGACCAGAGAGUGUUAAUCUUAUCUAGCUUACAGGAAAGUCACAGAAAUUUCAAUGAUUGGUCCAAUGUUCCGUUUCUUUUUUUAAUUAGUCAGAUACCAUACCCUGAACUUGUUUCAACAUCUUGCUUUAUUUCCAGAAUGUGCCUUAAUUGCUUCCUGAUUUCUGCAGCCCAUAUAACACCUACAAGGAAUCUUGAUUUACUCCUACUGUAGUAGUUGUACAACUUUGUUCUAUGGCUAUCUUGAUAUAAUUAUAAUCUAUUCGUCUUUCUUUUUGUCUGUUUUAUUCAUUUAUUUUUUGAGACAGGGUCUCACUCUGUCACCCAGGCUGUAGUGUGGUGGCCCAACUUUGGCUCACUGCAACCUCUGCCUCCGAGGUUCAAGAGAUCCUCCUGCUUUAGCCACCCAAAUGGCUGGGACCACAGGCACACAUCACUAUGCCUGGCUAAUUUUUGUACAGCCAUGUUGCCCAGGCUGGUCUUGAACUCCUAGUCUCAAGCUAUCUGCCUGCCUCUGCCUCACAAAAUGCUGGGAUUAUAGGCGUGAGCCACCGCACCUGGCUUAUUUGUCCUUUUAUACUGACAUGUUGUACUGCUUCAUUUUGCCAAAAUCUCUUGCCAAAAGUGCACUGAAUGAGUUCUCUAGCAAUAACCCACAGAAAUUUUCUGUUUUUGCUGCUCCAGUAUUCUCAAUGUCAUUCAAAGUAUUAGGUUCUAGCUUUAGCACAGCAAGAAAUCACAUCAGCUAAUCUAUAAACAUCUUCUGAUGACAUAUUCCUUUAGACACACCUUGUUGAACUCCCAAUGCACUAUUUUAAAAACUAAUGCAAAAUAAUUUCUUUAGUAGGACAGCAUUUCCAUCAAAUAAUUCUAUUUGCAUAAGGGAAAUGGUACUGUUGCUACUCUUACCUGGUGGCCUCCAUAUCGGUGAGCCAGUGGAAUGGAUCUUGGUAAAGGGACCUUGAUAAAUCAAGGUCCAAAAUAUCUUCUAGAACUUCCUGAGGCAGGAAAAACAAAUUUACAAACCUAAGUCUUCUUUCAGUACUUUUUUUUUUUUGAGACACAAGCUCACUCAGUCACCCAGGCUGGAGUGCAGAGGCACAAUCAUGGCUCACUGCAGCCUUAACCUUCUGGGCUCAAGUGAUCCUCCUACUUUGGCCUCCCAAAGUGCUACGAUUACAGAAGUGAGCUACUGUGCCUGGCCUAAUAAUUUUUAAAAAUAGAGACUUAAUGGAAGAAAAUUCAAAGAAUAAACCUCUUCUGAAAAUAUAUUAUUAAUAUUUUUUCAUAAGAGAUGUACCAUACUUUCUAUGUUUAUGCUAUUUGGGAAAAAUUAGUUCUUAUUAGAUGGUUCAGAAAUUUUUAUGGCUUUCUUAUGACAUAUGGUAAAACAAUGUUUUUCCUAGCACAAAUUCAUUUAAGGAAAUAGAAAAAAGUAAAUAUCCUAUUUUUAGCC